rnacentral:rRNA from 1 species
UACGAAGGGUGCAAGCGUUACUCGGAAUUACUGGGCGUAAAGCGUGCGUAGGUGGUUUGUUAAGUCUGAUGUGAAAGCCCUGGGCUCAACCUGGGAAUUGCAUUGGAUACUGGCAGGCUAGAGUGCGGUAGAGGAUGGCGGAAUUCCCGGUGUAGCGGUGAAAUGCGCAGAUAUCGGGAGGAACACCCGUAGCGAAGGCGGCACUCUGGGCCGGAACUGACGCUGAGGAGCGAAAGCGUGGGGAGCAAGCAGG